CAGCGGCCGAGGUAACACCAGCCCCUAGAGUGGUGGGGAUGAUUAUUGGGCCUGAAGCGUCCGUAGCCUGCCGUGUAAGUUUCCCGUUAAAUCCAGCGUCUCAAGCGUUGGACCGCGGGAAAUACUGUGCGGCUAGAGAGUGGGAGAGGUCAGCGGUAUUCUGGGGGUAGGGGCGAAAUCCUUUGAUCCCCGGAGGACCACCAGUGGCGAAGGCUGCUGACUAGAACACGCCUGACGGUGAGGGACGAAAGCUGGGGUAGCGAAUCGAAUUGGAUACCCGAGUAGUCCCAGCCGUAAACGAUGCAGGCUAGGUGUUGGGUUGGCCACGCGCCAGCUCAGUGCCACAGGGAAGCCAUUAAGCCUGCCGCCUGGGGAGUACGGCCGCAAGGCUGAAACUUAAAGGAAUUGGCGGGGGAGCAC
rnacentral:rRNA from 2 species